rnacentral:rRNA from 1 species
UACGAAGGGUGCAAACGUUGCUCGGAAUCAUUGGGCGUAAAGCGCACGUAGGCGGCCCUGUAAGUCGGAUGUGAAAUCCCACAGCUUAACUGUGGACGUGCAUUCGAAACUGCGGGGCUCGAGUAUGGAAGAGGGUCGCAGAAUUCCCGGUGUAGAGGUGAAAUUCGUAGAUAUCGGGAGGAAUACCUGAGGCGAAGGCGGGCUACUGGGCUGAUACUGACGCUGAGGCGCGAAAGCUAGGGGAGCAAACAGG